rnacentral:rRNA from 1 species
ACGAACGCUGGCGGCGUGCUUAACACAUGCAAGUCGAACGGAAAGGCCCUGCUUUUGUGGGGUGUUCGAGUGGCGAACGGGUGAGUAACACGUGAGUAACCUGCCCCUGACUUUGGGAUAACUUCAGGAAACUGGGGCUAAUACCGGAAAGGAGCUCCUGCUGCAUGGUGGGGGUUGGAAAGUUUCGGCGGUUGGGGAUGGACUCGCGGCUUAUCAGCUUGUUGGUGGGGUAGUGGCUUACCAAGGCUUUGACGGGUAGCCGGCCUGGGAGGGUGACCGGCCACAUUGGGACUGAGAUACGGCCCAGACUCCUACGGGAGGCAGCAGUGGGGAAUAUUGCACAAUGGGCGGAAGCCUGAUGCAGCAACGCCGCGUGCGGGAUGACGGCCUUCGGGUUGUAAACCGCUUUCGCCUGUGACGAAGCGUGAGUGACGGUAAUGGGUAAAGAAGCACCGGCUAACUACGUG